CACGUAGGGGACGAGCGUUGUCCGGAUUCAUUGGGCGUAAAGCGCGCGUAGGCGGCUCGGAAAGUCGGGCGUGAAAAUCCGGGGCUCAACCCCGGACUUGCAGUGGGUACGGGCAGACUAGAGUGUGGUAGGGGAGACUGGAAUUCCUGGUGUAGCGGUGAAAUGCGCAGAUAUCAGGAGGAACACCGAUGGCGAAGGCAGGUCUCUGGGCCACUACAUGACGCUGGAGAAGCGAAAGCAUCGGGGAGCGAACAGG
rnacentral:rRNA from 1 species